ensembl:lncRNA
GCAGCUUCCUUCUGGGAACUCAGUGUAAAUCCCAGACAUCCAGUCACCCGUGUGGGUCACCGGACACCACGCACUGUUUGCCCAACUCCUGAAAUAAGCAACUGACCCAAGGACCUUUGUUGAGUGGGGGCCGAUCUGCCAUCUCCAUUUCAGCCACUGUGGGGUCCACCCUCAGCAUCUCCAACGGUGACCACAGACACCACAGGACACAGGACUCCUUCCCCUCCUCCAGUCUAGGGCACACAGCCCUGCCCGGAGUUCCAUGCCAUCUUCCCUUUGCCUGUGUUUUGUGCGAAGGAGCAUUCAAAUGUUGGACAAAACGGCUUUAAUUCAACUUGAUCAUCUUCUGAAAAAGAAAAAAAAAUUAAAGGAAGAAAAAUAAAGGAGGAAGAACAAAAGUUGGGAGAGGCCAGACUAAAUGGAUAUGAUCUGAAUGCAUAUUUGUGUUACAACUAAUACAACCAGCAGCAGAGAGGGACCAAGAUCAAAUAAAUGGUAAAACCUGACAAAGAGAAGAAUAGAUGGUAUGUGGAGCCAUCUGUUUUGGAGGACACCCAAAUCUGUCUGAAUCUGUGAGGCCAAACUACCAGCUAUUCUAAGACGCCCCAUUCCAAGAGUGGCCUAAUGCGUAGCUACACAAUCAGUUUCUCUCACUAUCACUUUGGCUGCAACUUUUUUGUGCAAUUAAGUAAUUUAUUCCUUUCUUCAGCCUCCUGAUUCUAAUGAAUCCGAGCCACAAACAAGCCUCAGUUGCUCCUAUUCAAGGAGUCUGAUUACAUCUGGCAGUGAUUGCUGGAAAUCCUGAAGAGGAAACAGGGAAGGGAAGCAUAUUGUUUGGGGGGGUAAUAGGUGAAGACCUGCCUCUCUUGACCUAUAAUACAUUAGUGUCAGUGAACAUUUGGCAGCCUUCAGAUGAUUAGCAAUGAAGAUGAAUCAAGCAAAAAAGAGGUAGAAAUCUGCCUCAUCUGAAUCGCCAGAACUGCAUACAUUUGCAUGCUGAUUAGCUGUUCUUUUGUCUGUGUUCCUAAUUAUUAUGACACAUUAUGUCUUCAUCAUGCAAGAUUCUGAUCUGUCUUGUUCAAAAUGCAUGUAGAAAAAAGUGCUGUUUAUUGAUUCAACAUGUAACUUUUAUUUUUAUGUUUGCUUUAAUUAAAUACAUAUUUGAUUGCC